rnacentral:rRNA from 1 species
GACAGAGGUGGCAAGCGUUGUCCGGAAUUACUGGGCGUAAAGAGCGCGUAGGUGGCUAGAUAAGUCCGGUGUGAAAUCCUUCGGCUUAACCGAGGAAUGCCAUCGGGGACUGUAUAGCUAGAGGACGGGAGAGGAGAGCGGAAUUCCCGGUGUAGCGGUGAAAUGCGUAGAGAUCGGGAGGAAGGCCGGUGGCGAAGGCGGCUCUCUGGAACGUCCCUGACGCUGAGGCGCGAAAGCGUGGGGAGCAAACAGG